UACGAAGGGGGCUAGCGUUGUUCGGAUUUACUGGGCGUAAAGCGCACGUAGGCGGAUCGUUAAGUCAGGGGUGAAAUCCUGGGGCUCAACCCCAGAACUGCCUUUGAUACUGGCGAUCUCGAGUCCGGAAGAGGUGAGUGGAACUCCUAGUGUAGAGGUGGAAUUCGUAGAUAUUAGGAAGAACACCGGUGGCGAAGGCGGCCCACUGGUCCGGUACUGACGCUGAGGUGCGAAAGCGUGGGGAGCAAACGGG
rnacentral:rRNA from 1 species